rnacentral:tRNA from 1 species
UGGAGGAUUAGCUCAGCUGGGAGAGCACCUGCCUUACAAGCAGGGGGUCGGCGGUUCGAUCCCGUCAUCCUCCACC